UUUUUUUUUUUUUUUUUUUGUAAGGCUAACUCGAUUCUUGUUCAUAAAAUAAGCGAACAGACGUUACAUAUUAGAUUCUACUGCCAUGCAUGCACAUGUUGGACUCAUCCACUUAUUUGGUCCAUGACCAAUCCAUUUUCAGGUUAUAACUUCUAGCCAAUAAGUGGUCAAACGAAUACUUUCGGCAAUCACAUAACACGGGGAAAUAAAUAAAUUGCCAUUUCGAUGCAUAACCACUAGAAAGGAAGGGGCUAAUUAAAACCACAAAUUACCCUCUCCAAAGAAACUUGGCAAGCAUGAAAAUUUUGGAAAGAUGUGGGGCAAAUGAUGUGAAUUCAUGGUGUGGCUGGGCAAGUACGAGAGAUUCCCGCAAGUGGAAAGCGACAAUCAGAUCCAUCCGGCAGCAGAACAAUAAUAAAACUGCAAAAAGAAACCCUGACCAUAAAAGCACUAAUCAAAAGAAGCAAAAGAAAGAUCCACCUAGGAGAGUCCGCGUCACCAAAGCCACUCCUCCACCCUCCAUUAAGCAACCAAUUACCACUUCGCAUGAACACUUUCUAAAUUCAUUAAUAAAUCCAAAACCUCUCUCCUAAGUCCUACCUGUAAAACCAGCUUAGUCCAAUAAUAAUAAUAAUAAUAAUAAUAAUAAUAAUCCAACUCCACUUAGAUGAGUUGAUCACUAGGUGAACCAUAACACAUAGGCUUAAUUGGAUAUUAAAAAUCCAAACCUGUGCACUUGUUUUAAAGUUUAAAAGAUAUGUAGUGGUGCAUCUUUUUAAUUUAAUUUAGAGGUGGAUCCUCUUCUUUUAACUUUUCUCAGCCUAGUUGAUUUGACACAAAAAAAAAAAUUGUAAUCUAUUUAUUUUACGGGUGGCAAUGAUUAUAACACUAGUUGCUUCAAGAAAUGUUUUCAGCUUUAUGAUGCUUCCAAUAAAACACAAACCUAACGGUCUAUCUGGAUGCGUUAGCAAUUUUUGGUCAUUUAUUUCUCUCUACUCGCAUUUCUCUGUUUAAUCACGUCUUGUAGGCAGAAGAAUACUUAAAUCUCUUUAAGGAUCGAAAUGUUCAGUUAUUGAUGUGAUUUGGGUUGAGGAAAUGGGGGAGAUUGGAGAAAUCUAGGGCUUUGAGAGGGCCCUUUUCAUUCUGGAAGAAAAAGGGCCCUUUGCAAAGUUUCGGGAAUUUAGAUAGAGAGAAGAAAUGAAGGAGUUGAUAGGGAGUCCGGGGACUGUUUGUGGGUUGUUAUUAAGGAUAGGGCAAUGUAUAUUUGGAGCUGCAUCCAUUGGAGUUAUGGUCUCUGCUUAUGGGUUUUCCAACUACACUGCGUUCUGGUAUGGAUUCUUCCUUCGCAUUGAGUUUUCAGAAUGUGGUAUUUUCAUGUUUACUGGUUUUAGUUGAUGGGAUCGGGCCACUUGUUUUCUACUUCCUCCUUAUCGAAACAAAUACUGCGCUUUGGAUUUUGUACUUGCCUUGAUCUUUGCUUUCCGCUGGUAUCAGAUCUUCUUGGGCAAAGGGAUUUUAUAGUUCAGCCUUUUCUCUAUAAAAUGUUGAUACGAGUUUAUUUGGUGCCCAAUUUUCAUGCACCAUUGUUUCUGGGUGUUUUGGUAUCAAGUUUGCUGCUGUUUUCAGAUGAAGUGAAGUAUUUGUUCUAAUUUCUGUUGGAAUUGAAAAUGUGCUACGACAGCUCACUAAAUCACUCCUGGACAUUUUGGAGCUGACCAUAUUCGCUGCACCAUUUUGAAGAUUGGAUGUGCAGACAUUUUUUUUUUCUAGUUUAUAAACUUACCUUAUUUAUCCCUUUACCUUAACAGACAAGAUGUGCAAUUGGAUGAGUUAAAUUGAGACAUGAGUUGAUAAUCAAAAGUUAAACAUCUAACCUAGAAAGAAAAGUUACUAUUUGGAGGACGUCAUCGAUUUGAAGAGACAUAGAAUGUCGAGCAAUGAAAAUUAUAUUGGUGCAGCAUCUGUGAUAACUGAUUCUUUAUAACACAACAAAGAAAUCCUCUUGUAAGUGGGGUGCUUUUUGAUCUAAUAUAUCCAAGUGCUAAUAAUGUAAUUCGGUGGUUGUUUAUCCUAUACUUAGAAGAGAAAGUAUAGUCUAGUCUAAGGACUCUUGAUUUUUUCUUAUCUGCGCAUGCCUGUUAUUGUUGCCUUCCACACCCACAUGUAUUUGCGUAUAUAGGUUUUCUUGAUUUGGCUUUUGAAAAAGAUACUACGACUGUUAUUCACUUUGGUAAAUUAUGACUUCUGAUUUCAGCUAUUUGAUUGCAUCGAUGGGGCUUCAAGUUUUGUGGAGCCUUGGACUAGCAUGUCUUGAUGUCUAUGCUUUGAGGAUAAAGAGAGACCUUCGAAAUCCUGUUUUAGUGAGCCUGUUCGUUGUUGGCGAUUGGGUACCUUACAAAUCCCUCAAUCUGUCUCUUUUACAUGAAUAAUUUGCUUAUCUGGCACUGGUGAGUUAGCCUGUUAUCAUGGCUGGGCUUUGAUUGUGAGAGAGAGAACAAUAAUUGCAGUAAACUCUAGUUUUAUUCAACUUUCUUGUUUAGCACUCUUCUAACUCCCAUUUCGCCCUUUGCAUGCAUAAUUUUUGGAAUCAUGUUUAUUACGGCAACACCCAGUACAUGGAUAUGACUCUCAAUACGAAGUAAAAUUGCUGAUCUUAACCAUCCUGCGGCAAGAGGCGUAUUUAGCAUGAUGUUCUUUAUAUGUGAGAUUUAGGUCUCAUAACAUUUUCAAGCUAUAGUUUUGAAUAUUGUUUCUCAUCAUUGUGCUUUCUGUCCUUUUGUUCCUAGCUUUGUUCAGUAACUUCCAAGUCAGAGAACUUUUUUCAACACAAUAUUCAGUUUUGUCAGCACUAGAGCUCUUAUACAACUUCCUUUUCUGUCAUAUCUCACUAGACUUGAAGUUUAUUUAUUACAUCUUUCUGUUUAUCCUUCGUAACUGUAAGCGUUCCAUGUUGAUCUAUGGCUGCGUGCUUAAUUUGGCUGAAAUUCAUACGGAAGACAGUUUUACGCUUACACGUUUUGCCAGUGCUAAGUUUUGAAAGGCUACUAUUCCAUGUAUCAAAAAGACAUGCGUUUGUCUUUGCUCCCAUAUUGAAAUCAACUUCACGCAAAUAAAGUGUUCUUAUCCUAUUCGGUCUUUUAUAUCUUUCUUUGUUUCUUUCAUUAUAUUCUUGUUGGUUUCUUUCUUAUAUAUUUUCUGAUUGGUGGAUAAGUGAUGCAAUGCAGGUGACAGCUACUCUAUCACUUGCAGCAGCAUGCUCAUCAGCUGGGAUAGCAGUUUUGUAUGCCAAAGACUUGAAAUACUGUAAGGGCCCAAUGCAACCUUCCUGUAGCAAAUUUGAACUCUCCAUUGUUCUGUCUUUCAUCACUUGGUGUCUGAUCGCUGUAUCUUCUCAUGUAAUGUUCUGGAUACUAGCCUCAGUUUAGGUGCUUGAAGCUCUUUUCACUUUGUCUACUUGGCUCAUCUUAAAAAUCAUCUUUCACUUCUAUAUUGCGACUGCAUUUUCUGUGAGAGGGAAAAACUAUCCUUCAUUUGACCCAUAUUGGUUGGUAGCUUUCUUCAUUUUUGUUACAAUAACUGGGCUCUUUUGGCCUACACGGGCCAAUAUUUGUUUUCCAGCAGGGGAAGAGCUUGUCCUGAAAUUUUGAUGUUUCUUCUUCCCCAGUUUUUCCAGGAGGGGCACUGUAAAAAUGUUCUUCCCUCCUGGAGGUUGAGAAGUUCAAUAGGUGCCAUUUUUCUUUGCUUUAUUAACGUGCAAUUGCAGACGCGGACAUAAAUGGAGCGAAAGGUCGUAACUUUGUGAUGAAAUGAUUAAUGACGAAUGAACAGAUUAGACAAAACUUCUUGACCAAUUUGUGUCAGAUAGGUAUAUAAGGCAGACGUUUUAAAUUUCACAGGCACAUUUUUCCCUGAUCAUAAACACACAGAGCCAGCAGUUACCUGGCCGUUUACUCACAAAUGAGGAACUAAAAAUCCAGGGAAAGGGGCAAAAACGAAAAAGAAAUGCAGAGAAAGCUACAAAACACAAAGCACAAGGAAGGACCAAAGCAAUCCUAGGAAUGAAUUCUGGCUAGGGCUUCGACAGGUAAAUUGCUCUGCUUUUGAAUCAUUUGCGUCGAGAAUACCCAUGACAUACUCAAUUUCCUCGGCAACUUCUCUCAUUGAAGGUCGGUUUUGCCUGCGCUCGUCUAAGCAUGCUGCUGCUAAAUUAGCAACUGCUUGCAUGGUCUCCAGCUCCACUUUGCUAGCCCAUUCUUUAAGGGUUGGAUCAAUGGUGUCCAUCAGUUUAUCUUCACCCAAAAUCUUUUUCACGUAAACCACCAGGUUCACAUUUUCUUCUUCUCUGUUAAAAUCAAUUACUCUUUUCGAAGUCGAGAGCUCCAGCAAAACGACACCGAAACUGUACACGUCGCUCCUAUCGGUCAGUUGGAGAUUGAUGCAAUAUUCAGGAUCGAGAUAGCCUAGAGUCCCUUGAGCAGAGGUAUUGAUGUGGGUAUACUCGCUUUCGUUUGACUCCACCAGUCUAGAAAAGCCCAAAAUCAGUGACCUUGGCAUCUAGCCUUUCAUCCAGCAAAAUAUUGCUGGAUUGCACGUCUCGGUGAUAUAUCGGGGGAAUACCGGAAGAAUGUAGGUAUGCAAGACCAUCGGCGGUCUGGUAGGCGAUAAUGAGGCGGCGCAGCCAAUUAAGUGGAGCCCAGUUGUGGAGACGAAAUCCGUGAAGGCGGUCGAAGAGCGUCCCGUUCGGGACGUAUUCAUAUACCAGCAGAGGUUGCUCAAGCUCAACACAGCAUCCGAGUAACCUAACCAGACUUCGAUGGUUCACCUGGCAAAGAAUUCGAACCUCGUUCAGCAGCUGAACGAUGCCCUUCAUGUUUCCGGGCUUGGCACGCUUGACUGCAGCUAUUGUUCCGUCGUCGAGAGUGCCUCUGAAAACUUCACCGAAGCCUCCAUAACCAAGUAGAUUGUCCUUGGAAAAGUUGUUUGUUGCUCUCUUUAUCUCCUUGCCUGUGAAGAUUUUUGCCGACUUCCCAUUGCUUUUGGCAUUUAAGAUUUCUUCGCGUUCCUUCACUAAAAUUUUUUAGCUCGUCUCUUUAAAAGUUGACGUCUUUCAUAUGCUACGAUUCCACAUAAGAUGAGUUGCAGGAUUGCACCAAGAGUGGCUGAAACAACAAUAAACACACGAGAGAUGGUUUAUUGCUUAAAAAUUUGCUGCAGUAUAUACUUGAAACAGCACAAGCAAAGUACCUGCCCCGACGGGUUGCUCGGGUGGUUGUGUAGCCCUCCUUAGGGUGAGACGGCUAGAUUCGAUCCCGAGCUCAGCAACCCGGCAUAAUUUCUUGAGGAUCGGUGGGGCUCGCUUUCCUCGGGUUGGGGGACUAGCCGGGUGUAGGCCUGGACACCCCCAACUGAAAAAAAAAAAAAAAAUGUACCUGACACCUUUUUCUUUGGACUGCAACUCUGCAAGUGGAUGGAACAUACAUUACACCUAGAGGUGUCAAAAUGGGUGACUUGGGCGGGUUUGGGUUGGGUAAAAUGGGUAAUGGGUAUAAGUGAGUCAAUUCAUUUAUACCCAUUUAAUUAGAUGUGUAUAAAUGGGUAAGUCAAAAACUAAAUUGGGUAAUCCAAUUACCCAUUUAUAACCCGUUUAUUUUAACUUUUUGUAAAUUCAUUUAAAUUCAUUUUUGCAAACUAAGUUAUCAAUUUAUACCAUUCUUUAUACCCAUCAUUAGUUUUAAAUAUUUAUUUAUAAUGUUCAAUAAACUUAAUUACCAAUUUUUUUUCAUUUAUACUCUAUGUCACAAAAUUACCUAUUAUUUAAUAAUUGAAUAAUAAGAAUAUAAAAAUUUGAACUAAGUACUAUAAAAAUUAAUAUAAAAACUUAAUCCAAAAAUUUUGAACCCCUAACAUUUUUUUCAUAUAUAAAUUUAAAAUUUCAUUUUAGAAAGAUAAGAAAAUAUGCUAAAAUUUAUCCUAAAUUAGUAAUGCUGAAAAAUGAGCAAGUUAACAAACUAAGAGAAAAUAAAAUAAUAAGAUAAAACCAACAAAUAAUAAUAAUGAAACAAAAAUAGUUAACAUCAUGACAAAAUGAAAAAUUUGAAAAAAAAAAUGGGGUGGGGGAAAAGAAGAGACUUGGGGGGAAGAGAAUUCUAAAUGGGUUAAUUGGGUUUGAUGGGUUACCCAAUAAUACCCAUUUAAUAAAUGGGUAUUAUUGGGUAACCCAUAUACAAAAAUUUAAGAUACCCAUACCCAUCUAUUCAUGGGCGGGUAUGGGUAAAUUUAAUUAAGUGGGUUGAUUUGCCACCUCUAAUUACACCCCACAGGCCUACAUGGAAUUCCGUAACAGGCCUUAGUGUAUUGAAUAGACUGACUUAACUAAGGAGUCCUAUUCUUGGGGGUCCUUAAGAAGUUAAACUCACAGCUUAAUAGAAUUCAAAACACAAUUGCUUCAGCCUAUCCCAAGAAUAAACCCAAUAAAUCUGCAUCUAUUUAUUUUGGAUCCAUAUAGAGCCACCAUCUUUGCGUUUUUGGGCCGAAAAAUGGCUCUUACAAUCUUCCUUCUUUUUUUUUUGAUAAUAUGGCUCUUACAAUCUUAGGAUACAUUUGAUAAAAUUAAAAUCUGAAAUUUGAAUCUAUUAAAUUAUUGAAUUGUUAAAUAAUAAAUUUGAUAUAUUUGAGUGUAUAUCACAUUUAAUGAUAAGUGAACAGUUUAUCACUUAAUUUUUAAAGUAAGUUUUGUCUAGAAAAUUCAGUGUCACUUAAUUAAUUCAGAUGCUAUAUUUUUUGUUAUCAAACACGUCUAAAUAUAUUAGGAUAUGAAUUCAUUAAGUUUAAAUGGCGCAUUGAAUUAUCAAACGGGACUUUAAUAUUGUUCACCCUAUGAUUUUUGUGACAACUAUAACCCAAACUUUAUAAUAUUUUUCGAUUGUGUUGCAAAUGAAACUACACAUGACAUGGUAAAAAAAAAUAGAGAAUGAAAUAUAUAUUGAUAUAGAAUGUUAAAUGAAGGACGGAAAGACAUUUAUGUGCGUUGAUUUUGUCAGUUGCGGCGACCCUUAGCCUUAUUUCAGAAGCAAAUCCCACGGAACACUAAAUUUCUGAUGUUUUUGUAUAUCAACAAAAUAUUUGAAGAAAUUCGGAUGCGGGGACAUUUUUGUGCCUUUCAUUGGCAAAAAUGGAACAGAAGUGGAAAUGAUGCGAGAGAAAGCCCUUCUGAAACAACCGGUUCAUCAUUUUUAAUGUGGUUGGACCUUGAAAGUGCCGCUACGCUAGAAAACUUCUUAAACUCCGGUUGGAUUGUAGUAUAACUGUCUUUCCCAGACUAAACGUUUCGUGGGCAACAGUUUUCUUAGUUCAACAGCUUGGCCCUUUAGCCGAAGGAUAUUAUAGCAAAGUACAAAUUUCAUUUAUAUUACACAGAAGCAUAACCAGUCUGUACACUUCCAGAUUUCACCCAUUAACGUUACAACAACACGAAUGUGUGGUCCUUUGGGGUUAUCCACACAAUACGCCCAAGAACCAGAGAAUCAUGAAAAAAGAAAGGAAACAAAUAGCAAAGAUCUUUCACACGCAAUUAAUCUAGUUAUGUGAAUCACCUCAACCCACCAUGCCCGACUACUUUUACAUGCCCUGGAUUUUCCUGGGGCAAAGUAAUAUAGUGAGCACCAUAUUUUUGUUUAUAGAUAUUCACUUGACGGCACGGCGGGGAGUCAGAUGACAGCCAGGUGAUUGAACAGCGGCGGAGAGCAUUCUUUUGGUGGCAGAGGAAGAAGGUGAUGACGCGGAGGCGGGGAAGGCACAGUCUGGUCUGAAAAGCUGAAUAUCAGGCAUUUGGAAGCGGCCCGAAUCACCUGGCAAUCUCGUGUAGGAAGCAGAAGGUGAUUCAUUCAUCCAUGAACCCAUCAUCCCUUGUUGGCCAUUCUUGUACUGCAUUAUAGCUCUGUAUACCAGUGGAAUUAAGCCCUCCAUAUCGUCUAAGUUGAGAGGGCGGGUAGGUAGGGUGUGGAGAGAUUUCAGAUUUCUUGGUGUUAUGUUGAUUUGCAAAUUACGAUGGGGAAGGGAAUGGAGUGGUUGGUUUAAAUUUAAAUGAGAGACUUGGGUGUGAUGACGUGGCGUAAUGGGUUGGAGCCUUAGCUGUUUAGUUUUAGUCUAAGCCAAGCUGACAGAUUGGCAAUUUUCACGAGUGGGAUAAGGAUCAUCGCGAAUUGAAUCAUCUAGGCUUACAAGGCAAACCUGCACGAAAACCAUACUUGAAAGCUCCAUUCAAACUACAUUCCAUUACAUCUCACCAAAUCUC
rnacentral:lncRNA from 1 species